AACGAACGCUGGCGGCAGGCUUAACACAUGCAAGUCGAACGGUUGUAGCAAUACAGCAGUGGCAGACGGGUGAGUAACACGUGGGAACCUUCCUAGGGGUACGGAACAACUCAGGGAAACUUGAGCUAAUACCGUAUACGUCCGUGAGGAGAAAGUUUUAACGCCCCUAGACGGGCCCGCGUAGGAUUAGGUAGUUGGUGAGGUAACGGCUCACCAAGCCUACGACCCUUAGCUGAUCUGAGAGGAUGAUCAGCCACACUGGGACUGAGACACGGCCCAGACUCCUACGGGAGGCAGCAGUGGGGAAUCUUGGACAAUGGGCGCAAGCCUGAUCCAGCCAUGCCGCGUGAGGGAUGACGGCCUC
rnacentral:rRNA from 1 species